rnacentral:rRNA from 1 species
CCUACGGGAGGCUGCAGUGAGGAAUAUUGGUCAAUGGACGAGAGUCUGAACCAGCCAAGUAGCGUGAAGGAAGACUGCCCUAUGGGUUGUAAACUUCUUUUAUAUGAGAGUAAAAUGUUCCACGUGUGGGAUGUUGUAAGUACCAUAUGAAUAAGGAUCGGCUAACUCCGUGCCAGCAGCCGCGGUAAUACGGAGGAUCCGAGCGUUAUCCGGAUUUAUUGGGUUUAAAGGGUGCGUAGGUGGAUUGUUAAGUCAGUUGUGAAAGUUUGCGGCUUAACCCUAAAAUUGCCGUUGAUACUGGCAGUCUAGAGAGCAGUAGCGGUGGGCGGAAUGUGUGGUGUAGCGAUGAAAUGCUUAGAGAGCACGAAGAACUCCGAUUGCGAAGGCAGCUUACCGGACUGCAACUGACACUGAGGCUCGAAAGUGUGGGUAGCAAACAGGAUUAGAUACCCCGGUAGUC